rnacentral:rRNA from 1 species
AACGAACGCUGGCGGCAGGCCUAACACAUGCAAGUCGAGCGAGGACUUCGGUCCUAGCGGCGGACGGGUGAGUAACGCGUGGGAACGUGCCCCUUUCUACGGAAUAGCCUCGGGAAACUGGGAGUAAUACCGUAUACGCCCUACGGGGGAAAGAUUUAUCGGAGAGGGAUCGGCCCGCGUUGGAUUAGGUAGUUGGUGGGGUAAUGGCCUACCAAGCCGACGAUCCAUAGCUGGUUUGAGAGGAUGAUCAGCCACACUGGGACUGAGACACGGCCCAGACUCCUACGGGAGGCAGCAGUGGGGAAUUUUAGACAAUGGGCGCAAGCCUGAUCUAGCCAUGCCGCGUGAGCGAUGAAGGCCUUAGGGUUGUAAAGCUCUUUCAGGGGGGAAGAUAAUGACGGUACCCCCAGAAGAAGCCCCGGCUAACUCCGUGCCAGCCGCCGCCGUAACAC